rnacentral:rRNA from 1 species
UACGGAGGAUCCAAGCGUUAUCCGGACUUAUUGGGUUUAAAGGGAGCGUAGGUUGACAUAUAAGUCAGCUGUGAAAGUUUACGGCUCAACCGUGAAAUUGCAGUUGAUACUGUAUGUCUUGAGUGUACAAGAGGUGGGCGGAAUUCGUGGUGUAGCGGUGAAAUGCUUAGAUAUCACGAAGAACUCCAAUUGCGAAGGCAGCCCACUGGGGUACAACUGACACUGAGGCUCGAAAGUGUGGGUAUCAAACAGGAUUAGAUACCCUGGUAGUCCACACAGUAAACGAUGAAUACUCGCUGUUUGCGAUAUACAGUAAGCGGCCAAGCGAAAGCAUUAAGUAUUCCACCUGGGGAGUACGCCGGCAACGGUGA